AUUCCCAGAAGCAAGAGGAGGAACACAUCCACAUUAGGUACAAUGCUUGUUUGCACAUAAGCAUUCAUCAUAGAAUUUCCCUCAAGAUGGGGGUCAGCUGCACGUUGGUAUACAGGAGUCCUGGAUCAGGAAAGUGUGUGGUACUGGCUGAUGUGAGUUACUCACAAGUUACAGACGGGGUAAACUGAUGGAAUCCUGUGGCUGGAAUGAAGGCGAGACUGAAAGAGCAUAAAGUUGGACAGAGCUUUCUGACACAAACACCUACUGUUUGUGUUCAGUUCCAAGUGUUAUCAUAUGCUGUUUGCUCCGUGGGAAAAGAAGAGAAGGAGACAGAGUGAAAGGGAGGCUGAGAACUGUGGAAGUUAACCUGUUCACAUCAGAUAUGCCUUGCUUCUCCAUUACCUUCCAUCAUGAUUGUAAGUUUCCUGAGAUCUCCCCAGCCAUGCAGAACUGUGAG